UGCCUAUGUCAGAAAUCAUCCUUUUUUUUACACGUCAAUUCUAUUAUUUUAUUUUCCUCUUUCUCUUUAUUACUUAGUCCACGGAGGCCGGUGGAUUGGCAGAAUCAGUACAGCGGCGGACAAAAUGCCUUCAAUACAUUUGAACUGGUCGGAUUAGACCCCAGGACAGCUUGGCCACAGAGUAUUUAAUACACAUUCACACACACACACACACACACAGACAGCUUAUGUUUCCCGAACAGGACUACAUGACAACACAGUAAACAUCGACAUUCAAUUGAAGGAUUUCUACGAUUCAAUCAAGUCGAGUAAUUUUCCAGACCAACGCCAAUGUCAGCUGACUUGAGGAAGAUGUUAAAUUUUCUCGUGAACAAUCACCAAACUAUUAAUUAUUGACAAUGAAUUUCUCAAGAGACAAUUUUUUUCUUUAAAUAUAUUGCCUUGAUCAAUUCAACUCGGGUGUUUCACGGAUAUCUUUCCAAAUAUACGAAAACAUUGAAAACAAAAAACGUAGCAAAGCAAUAAACGAUAUUCUCUUUUAAUCAAGAGAAAUUUUUCAUAUACAUACAUAUAUAUAUAUAUAUAUGUGUGUAUAUAUAUAUAU